rnacentral:tRNA from 3 species
GGUGCCAUGGCCGAGUGGUUAGGCAGAGGUCUGCAAAACCUCCUACGUCGGUUCGAAUCCGGCUGGCACCU